CCUGUGGAGUGCUAGACAAACCAGAGUAGUAAGUAAGAUGCGAAAUGGAGUACGGUGAAACAGGAA
rnacentral:sRNA from 1 species